rnacentral:tRNA from 1 species
CAAUGAAAUUUAUAGUAAGAGGAAAAUCCGUCGACUUUAGAAAUCGUGAG